rnacentral:rRNA from 1 species
AUUGAACGCUGGCGGCAUGCCUUACACAUGCAAGUCGAACGGCAGCACGGGAGCUUGCUCCUGGUGGCGAGUGGCGAACGGGUGAGUAAUACAUCGGAACGUACCCUGAAGUGGGGGAUAACGUAGCGAAAGUUACGCUAAUACCGCAUACGAUCUACGGAUGAAAGCGGGGGAUCGCAAGACCUCGCGCGAUUGGAGCGGCCGAUGGCAGAUUAGGUAGUUGGUGGGGUAAAGGCUCACCAAGCCGACGAUCUGUAGCUGGUCUGAGAGGACGACCAGCCACACUGGGACUGAGACACGGCCCAGACUCCUACGGGAGGCAGCAGUGGGGAAUUUUGGACAAUGGGCGCAAGCCUGAUCCAGCCAUUCCGCGUGCAGGAUGAAGGCCUUCGGGUUGUAACU